rnacentral:rRNA from 1 species
AUUGAACGCUGGCGGCAUGCCUAACACAUGCAAGUCGAACGAGUGGCGGACGGGUGUGUAAUGUCUGGGAAACUGCCUGAUGGAGGGGGAUAACUACUGGAAACGGUAGCUAAUCCCGCAUACCAUCAGAUGUGCCCAGAUGGGAUUGGCUUGUUGGGGGGGUAACGGCUCACCAAGGCGACGAUCCCUAGCUGGUCUGAGCGGAUGACCAGCCACACUGGAACGGAGACACGGUCCAAACUCCUACGGGAGGCAGCGGUGGGGAAUAUUGGACAAGGGGCGCAAGCCUGAUGCAGCCAUGCCGCGUGUAUGAAGAAGGCCUUCGGGUUGUAAAGUACUUUCAGCGGGGAGGCGUUACCCGCAGAAGAAGCACCGGCUAACUCCGUGCCAGCAGCCGCGGUAAUAC